rnacentral:rRNA from 1 species
CUGUGGAAGGAUCAUUGUCGAAUUCUGACUGGCAGACCGCAAACUCGUUAACAAACUUUGGGGUGCUGGCGGGCGAGAGAAACGCCGCCCGUCCGUGCACCAAACAAGCUAAACUCUCGGCACGGGAUGCGCGUCUGGUUAUUUAACAAAAACAACUCUCGACAACGGAUAUUUAGGCUCUCGCAUCAAUAAAGAGUGUAACGAAAUGCGAUACUUGGUGUGAAUUGCUGAAUCUCGUGAACCAUCCAGUCUGCCUAGGCGUCACGCAAUCUGUCGCCACCCCCUCCUCGCCCUCGUGGGAAUGACGUGGGUGACCGAUGUUGGCCUCCCGUGCCCCUAGCGGCGCGGCUGGCCUAAAUGCGAGUUCUCGACCUGGGAUGUCAAGGUGAGUGGUGGCUAAACUCAUCAACUCGAGAGCUGUCGUGACGACGCCCGACUGGGACUCUCCAACCCUAGAGCUCUUCGCGAGCCUUCGACCGCAACCCCAGGUCAGGCGGGAUUAC